CCCAUACCGCCAGUCGUGCGAAGACAGAAAGAUAAGCGUGGGCUGUGGAAAAGUGGAGCCUGUGCUCCAUGAAUAUGCAACUCUAGGCUUCGGAGCUUAGCAUAUUUCAUUCUGUUGCAAGUUGAAACGUGUAGGUAUAUCUCCUUGGCCCAACUCAAAAGGUAGAUGUUUUCUGCCUUCUGUGAGUACAGACACUUGGCAGCCAGCUUUCUCUGAACGUUCGUCUGGAAAAGAAUCUCCACUUGUUAGAGAGAGCAGAGGAAGUACAGAGGGAGAGGGAGAAAGAGAGAAUCUCAAGCAGGUUCUGCUGCUCGGAGUGGAGAAGUCCUAUGCGUGGCUCAAACUCAGAAAGCAUCAGAUCAUGACCUGAGCCAAAAUCAAGAGUCGGACGCGUCAUCCACUGAGCCACUCAGAUGAGGAAAAUGAGGCACAGAAGUUAAGUCACGUAAGAUCACAUUCUGAUGAGGAAACGGAGGUAAAGCAAGGUUGUGUAAUUGCUGAGCGAUACAGCUAUUUAACGGGGGAGCCAAGACCAUGGGAGAACACAUUUGGAAGGGUACUUGUCAAGGCUUUGCCAAUCUGCAAUUUGGGGAACACAGUACUACGAAGUCUUCCCAGAGUCAGUGAGAGGAACUUCAAAGGAAGAUGGAAAAGCCCAGAAAACAUGAAGGAAGUGCUCCUGGGGGUAUCUUGGGUUGGAGUUUGGAGGCGACGGAGAAGAGAAUUGUGGGACUGCUGGAAGCCAUUGUUGGCUGGAAUGAAGGAAGGCUGUAGAGAGCGACUUAUAUCCUGAGCACCACCAGUGGUGGAGAUGGACAGAAAGAGGAAGACACAGGAGAAAGAAGGCAAAGGCACAUAUGGAGGGCACCACCCGGUAACUCCACUCUGGUUCCUGUGAGCUGUUUCCUUGGCUGAUGCUGCGUUAAGAACUACGUGGGUUCAUUUAUUACGGUCCUUUUGUCUGUCAUUCAAGCGUGUACAUGAUUUUUUUUCUUGUGUUCUUUUUUUUUUUUUUUUUAGCGCUUAUUUAUUUUUGAGAGACAGAGUGUGAGUGGGGGAGGAGCAGACAGAGAGGGAGACACAGAAUCUGAAGCAGGCUCCAGGCUCUGAGCUGUCAGCACGGAGCCUGACGUGGGGCUCAAACUCAUGAACCGUGAGAUCAUGACCUGAGCUGAAGUCGGAUGCUUAACCAACAGAGCCACCCAGGUGCCGCUCUUAUGUUCUUCUUUCAGCCCCAAAGCAACCAAGCAGUCAAUAAGCAGCUACCAAGGGUGGGGUGAGGGGAAUGUCCUACCAAUCAUCUGUCUUAAGGAUGCCAUCUUGGCAAGACUGUCCUGUCUGUGCCAGUCAGGGAGGAAUAAAGGCAGACCAUCACAUACAUUAGAUUUAGAGGCAUUCUGAGGGAACUUAGGAGAGGGUGGAUUCUUCUGGAGAACUUUGCCUCAAGCCCUGAAUGCAGUCUCUCAAGAGCAGAACAUGGAUAUUUCCUCAGACAGCCAGAGCAUUUUUGUGUUAUCUUAAUAGUACAUAAAAGCUAUUUGCUGUAAUAAAAAUUACACCAGGCCUGGCAUCUGAAGACUCAGGUUCUGAGAUCUGGCUCUUUUACUUCCUAGCUACGGCCAAGUUGCCUCUUUCAGAGCAAAGUAAUGAAGGGCAAAUGAGAAGCGUUAUGACAACACAUUGUAAACUGUAAAGUUGUGCAAAUAUUAGUUAGUUUGUUAUUGUUACCUAGCAAUACGCAGGGAUUGUCCUCGUCUAGGUUCUAGUUAAGUAGCCAGGGUCUGUGUAACCAAGUGCUUGGCAGUUUGCAUUAUAACUGAAGGGUGAAAUUAGAUGAUAAUACGGGUUUCAUUUUGAAGACGUAGAAGAAACCACAGGUAAACCACAUACCAUUUUCCUGAACAGUUGCUUUGGGUGGUAACUAGGAAUUCCUUCUCGCCAGGGAUUGGGUGAGGAGGAUUGUGUUUAAUACCAAGGAUUGUAUUUAACUCCCCCACACCCCACCUCAGCAUUUUGUCUUGGGUGUUGCUGAAGGCUUGGCACCCUUAACAGCUCCUUCCCCUCCCAGCCAUAGCUGCUGCUGCUGCUUCGUCGUCUUCUUUCUUUUUAUAUCUUCUACCUUCUUCUUUUAAGUAGGCUCCACUCCCAGUGCAGAGCCCAAUGCAUGGCUCAAACUCACGACCCUGAGAUCAUGACCUGAGCUGAAAUCAAGAGUUGGCUGCUUCGCUGGCUGAGCCACCCAGGCAUCCAAGCCAUAGCUGCUGUGCUUCUUAAGCAUCUUCCCUCCGUAGUGAGUGAUCUUUCUCGCUCGUCUUCCAAACCUGAUCCCACUGUAGCCUGGGCUCAGUGGCUGACCCUCUGCUUCAUUUCCAGUUCUUGCUCUCUGUCUCCUCCCUCGAAUGCAGCGCUUCCGAGUCUCCCUUGCUUCCUACGGUCCUCUUCCCGCACAUUCUCAUCGCCUGAGAGGGGAGGUAUGAGACUCGGGUUCCGUAUUCCCGUCUGGGAGCAGUCUGCAUUCUGUUGGAGGAUGUAUUUAGGUGUUUGGACUGAAGGGUCUUUUCAUGCUCCUUAGCAUUCACCGAAGUGCACUUUCUGAUGGACGGAUGUUCAGGGAGCACUUUUACGUGGCUGCUUUUCCACUCCUGUGACUCUUCCGUAGUUCACCGGGCAGUCUCUUGGAAGCUCCCAUAAUUGCACACUACAUUAUGUUGCGAACAAGGAGUCACUUCUUUCUGUUUGGGAGGACACCUCUGAGUCUCAGUCAGCCCUGAGAGCCUUUCCUAUGCUGCCCUCCCUGCCAGGCCCUGCUACCCCAUACACCAUUUUCUUAAUGGUGUUUUUUUGCAUAUUCCCAGGACAUAUUAUCCUAUGUCCACUUGUGCCUAAACUUUCAGAUCUUUCCAGCAGUCCACCUUGACCUCAAGGAUAACUUUCUUUUCUUUUUUUUUUUUUUAAUGUUUAUUCAUUAUUUUUGAGAGUGCACAAGUAGGGGAUGGGCAGAGAGAGAGGGGGACAGAGAAUCAGAAGCGGGCUCUUACCUCACAGCAGUGAGCCUGAUGUGGGGCUUGAACUCAUGAACUGUGAGAUCAUGACCUGAGCCGAAGGGACACUCAACCAAUUGAACCACCCAGGUGCCCCAAGGAUCACUUUCUUACAUGCUGGCUACAUCAACUGUCUGGCCUUGCCUCCGUUUUGAUACCUUUGGUCUCUGCUGAGGUUUGGGGUGAAUGGUCCCCAUCUCAGGGCUCACGUCACCGGUGCCAAAGAUCCCCUCCCGCCCAACUCCGGGACUUAUCUGCGUAUCCUGUCUCCAGUCCCCACAGUUGGAGCUGGGAAGAAAGAGCUUCUGGGCAAGAUGCCACCAGCAAGCCUGUCUCCCUAAGAACAGACCUCUUUUCUCGCUGGUGGAAACCUACCCCUUCUCUCACAGCUGUGUGAAAAGAAGCCAAAUGCCCAUUCUUAAUGUGUAACAACUGAGGCUCACAUGCAAACUGCUGUUAUCUCAGCAGGAGAGCAAUUUGCAACCAUUUAAACUCCUUUCACUCUUCCUUUCUCCUCCGUGCAUGGUUAUACACACACCAGUCCAUAUUUAUUAGUGCAGAUGGUGAGAAACUCGUCAUUGAAAGGGCUUAGAGCACAGAAGGAAAUGGAUUUUUGGCCUCACUCUGGCCUUAUAAACAAGAAGGCUUGAAUGAUUUUUAGGUUCCUGAUUCUUGCCUCAGAAGAGCACAGUUUGCUUCUCUCCAAACACAAGAGGUUGUAAAUUGGUAAUUCAUCUCAGCCAAAGGCCACAUGAUGAGCAAUUGUAGAAGUGUUUUUUCCUUGUUGUGCAAAGAAGGAACCCGACAUCUGAGUGUGGGUUCCAGCUGGUGUUUUCCUUUCACCAUUUGCAGCCCAAAGGCACGGUCUUGGCCAGGCCUGGGCUCUCAGGACGACUCCUGCCUUUUACCUGCAGCACCAUUGCCACCAUGGCCAUCCCAAGGGGAAGUCAGCUCAGCAUUUCCACGUGACGUCUUCUUCUUCUUCUUCUUGCAGCUAAAAAAUAAAUCAGUUCUAAUAAAAACAUUUAUACUAUAUUCUUUAUUGUCAGCUAAUCCUGCCUGAACUCAUUAAAUGGCAGUGUGUGGGUUAUUUGCUGUCAGUGAAAUUAUCAAAGGCAUUUUUCAGCUGGGGCACCGGGAAAACAUAUGCUUCAAUGCCAACUAAAACAAUAAUGAGGAAAUGUUAUGAUCAGUCUUGACCAGAUGACCCUGCCCAUUUUAGAUUAGUUCUUAAUUUCAGCACAAGGGUCAUCCUGUGAAUUCUUACAAUAAGUCACUGCUCACCACUCACAUGAAAAAGAUGUGACUUAUUAGAAAACUCACUGUACUCAUUGCAGUUAAUGAGAUGUGGAAAGCUUUGUAAUUUGAUUUGCUGGGCCAUAUGCUGUAAAGGGAUACUGCUGAUUUCAUUCCUCCGUAUUUAAUUUAAGCAGUAUGCAAUACCUUCUUCAUAUGGCUACUUAUAUAAUAAAAAUUAACUUGGGGUAUAAAAAAUACACCAUUGUGGGGUUUAUUACUUGGUGUGGUUCAGUUUCAAGUGUUUUUCAUGGAAACAUCUGUAAGUAAUGUGUGUGGGUCUAAUUUUAAAUCCCGCCAAAUAUUUUCCAUUUAACAUUUGGUUUAACUGACAAGCCCGCAGAGGUGGUUUUCAGAGUUGUUGGUAACAGAUACGUACAGUAUUCCCAAGGCUAUAGCCUUCUUUUUUUUUUUUUAAUGGCAGACAGAUAACAGUAAUCCAAAACUCGGUUUUUGAACUUUUUAGCAUUUCAGUGGAUACAAACGGCAGUUGAGAAUGUAGGCACUUCUAACCCUUAAAGACCAAGCUGCGGUUUAAUCUAGUAUCCCCUAAAAUUACCUUGUUUAUGACUUUUGUUUCAACAUCUGCGGCCAAGGAUUCGGGUGGCAGAUUCUCUGCAAGGCUGACUGUGGGAAAGAGACCCUUCAGGACAGGGGCUUGCCUCCCCUCUGAAGAGAGGGGGAGGGAGGAGGACUAACAGUCUGAGACAUGGGCCAAUGCCCAGGAGGUCUGAUCCUCCAGAGAGGUUCUAGAACCCCAUUCUAUUUUUCUACGGUUGAAAAAAAUAUAUAUUUUUUUCAAAUAUACAAAUAUACAAAUAUAAAUGUGUAUAUAUCCUUGCUCAAUUCUUAGGGGGCACCCAGGCCCCCUGGACUAUCCAAGGGUCUGGUCAGCAGCUGGUCAGUAAUACAACCACCAAAUGAGGAGGUGAGGUUGCGGGAUAAAAUAGAGAACCCCGAGUUGAAUCUGAACUUCAGAUAAACAACAAAUAUUUUUUUUAGUAUAACGACGAGCCGCAGCGUGCCACACUUUUGCUUGCUCAGUCGGGCACCCCUACCACCGGCCGGGUGACUACGUGUCGUUCCAGGCCAGGAAGCCUUAUCCGGGUUGUGUGAUGACGGCGGCCGGGCAGGAGCCACAAGCGCCCCCACCCCUCCGGGCUGGGGGUCGGCGCCGCGCUCCGCUUGGAAACGCGCCCGAUCGCACCGGGGCGUCGCGGCACCGCCAGCUCAGCACCGGGCCGGGCACGAGGCGGGGACCCCCAGAAACAUACCGAAACCGUCUCCAUGGCUGCCUCUGAAAUAAAGCGGUGUGUGUGGGAAGAGAAACUCGAGGGGGAAGUUCAGCAACCAACGCAGAGACUGAUUUUUUUGUUGAAGCCUCACGUUUCUGUUCCUUUUGGUGAUGGUGGUGACGGAGGUGCACGAUGGAUACAAUUUUUGUAACACAGCAGUUACCUCCAAACCCACUAACCAGCCACGAACGGCGAGUCAGGGAACGGAGUGGAGCAUCUCCGGUCCAUUUUAUUUUCUGGACUUCUGUCGGUGGUGCAAACUGAACUGCAGGCUUGUAACCAAACUUUGCAAAGGGUCUCCUUCGGCUCCUCAACCACAGAGACGCCAGGCUGCGUGGCCACUGGCCACACCUUUCCUCGGGGCGUGCCAGCCAAGGCAAGUGGCGGUUGGAUGGCGUGCGUGGUCCCGUGUCCGCGUCCAACUCUUUAUAUGUUGUUGACUAGGGGUAACCGCAGCAGUGUUAUGGCCGUGGCCCCGCCGAUGCGCAGGAGAAGAGAAUCCACGAGAAGUCUUCGAAUUGCUAGCAAGUGGCCCUGAGGCCCAUACAUGGCUACGUGUCAGCUGAGCUGAGACAAACGAGGUGACAGAAACAUAAGGGAAGGAAGCACGGUUAUGCAGCUGCCCGCUCCCCUCUGCCCAGACUGGUCCUCGGCGAGCCGCCACUCUGGACUGAUGAGAAUAUGCCAGUGAUAAACCACAACUGUGGGAAACACUGGGUGGGGGCAUAAAUAUCAUCUGUAAACAAUUAGGCAGCCACUGCUCAUUCAGUGCCGUUUUGAGAAGCUAAGGAAGUCUGCAAUCAGUUAUAUCUCCAAUUACCAUAAAAAUAUAUUAGCCAUUCAUUCAUUUAUUAAUGAUUCAUCAGUUAACCACACAUAAUGAGCAAAUAAUUAGCAGUGCUGUACGGUUGCCAAAAUUGAAGAAGUGUUGGCAUUUUAAAGAUGAAAGGUUGCAUUUAUGCAAAAGUCUGGCGAUGAUAAAGUUAAUAUGGAAGAUAAUUAUAAAAGUGGCUGUCCUAUAUUACAGACUGAGGUACCACAAAACUUGCCUAAUUGAACUGAAAUGAAUAUUCUUCCAAAGUCUGCGUGUUGCCACACACAAACUGCUGAAUUUCUCCCGAAGAUCUCCCUUCAGUAAGGUGCACUGCACAAUACAAGUUAAUAAAAUGCCAGACAGCUA